rnacentral:ncRNA from 1 species
CACAGGCUUGGUCCUAACCUUUUUAUUGGGUUUUACUUAACUUACACAUGCAAGUCUCCGCACCCCGGUGAGAACGCCCUUUUCAUCCUUAUGGACAUAGGAGCCGGUAUCAGGCACAUUAACCUGCCCAAGACACCUAGCUUUGCCACACCCACAACGGGUACUCAGCAGUGAUUAACAUUAAAAAUUAGCGCCAGCUAGACUUAGUUACAGUAAACAGGGCCGGCAAACCUGGUGCCAGCCGCCGCGGCUAUACCACGGGGCCCAACUCAAUAAACAUCGGCGUAAAGCGUGAUUAAAGCAACCCCUACACUAGAGUUAAACCACGGCUAGGCUGUGAUAAGUCUGCCCCCCGGAAAUCCUGAAACGAAAGUUACUCUAACCCCCAACCACUUGAACUCACGACAGCUAAGACACAAACUGAGAUUAGAUACCUCACUAUGCUCAGCCGUAAACCUUUCACUUACACCCUCCUCGCCCGGGCACUACGAGCCCAAACUUAAAACCCAAAGGACUUGACGGUGCCCCAUAUCCACCUAGAGGAGCCUGUCCUAUAAUCGAUGAUCCCCGUUUAACCUCACCACUUCUAGCCUACCAGCCUGUAUACCUCCGUCGUCAGCUCACCGCAUGAGCGCACUAUAGUGAGCACAAUGGAACCCUCCAAAACGUCAGGUCAAGGUGCAGCAAAUGAAGUGGCCAGAGAUGGGCUACAUUUUCUUAUAUAGAAAAUCACGGAAGACUAUUAUGAAACCCCGUCAGAAGGCGGAUUUAGCAGUAAAGCAGAAACCAGAAAGUUCUCUUUAACAAGGCACAGGGGCAUGUACACACCGCCCGUCGCCCUCUUCAACAACAUACAUAAAGUUCAUUACCUAACACAAAUAAAAAGAAGAGGUAAGUCGUAACAUGGUAAGCAUACCGGAAGGUGUGCUUGGAA